UUAUUUGUUUUUGCCUAUUAAAAUUAGUUAAUAAACAAAAAGAAUGAAACGAAACAAACAAAAUCAAAACUAAAACAAAAAAGCACAUCACAACAAAACAAAACAAACAAAAACAAACACAAAAUAAGAAUAAUAACUAAUAAACUAAUAAAACUCCAAACAAAACAAAAUAAUAGAAUGAUACAAAACAAAAAGAAUGAAACAAAACUCUAAAACAAAAGAAAAAAAGGAUUAGAAAACAAGCAAAAAACAAAUUGAAUGAUACAAAACAAAAGAAUGACCUAAAACAUUAAAAACAUUUAAAUCACUGCUGGAGGUAAUAAAUCAAAGGCGUGAACUAAAGAGGUAAAAGUGUCAAGUACUGAAGUCUCUUACCAUGUUCACAGCAUCCUGGUCAAAUGGUACUGAAGUCUCUUACCAUGUUCACAGCAUCCUGGUCAAAUGGGUUACACUCGAUGUUUUCUGGGUAGUGGUCAAGCACUUUGGAUUUGAAGGUCCUUUUGAGGGGGCUCUGAUCAAAGUUUUCCCCUGCAGAGAGAACAUUAAUAAGUAUUAAGGAGAAUAGAGGAUUGGAAACAUCUUUUAAAAUAUUCAUAAGCUUUAAAAUGCAAAAGCUAUGGUAUGAGUGCUGAAUUUUUUUACAUGGUCGUAAAUAAGAGGUUUGUCAUGUGUCUUAGCUACACUGCAUUAAACUGAUAAAAGUUUCAUGGUUUCGCCACUAAACUGCAAGGCCUUUUGAGAGGAUUGUACUGUAUGGAGAUAUCCACAUAAACAAGCUACAUCUGCUUAGUUGUGCUGAACUGUAAGGUGUUUACUUGAAUGUAUAUUUCAACAUACAGUCAAAUAAAUUUUGCACAAUACUCUAACACACAUUUCACACCUUCUUUUGAUAGCUUAAUAACUUGUUGAAACAAACAUUGCUGUGACAUGUUUACCACAACUCUCAGGUACGUUGGACAGAGUAAUCCACUUGUAUUUACCAUGUAAAUGUGACCCAGAUACGACACCUGUCUCUGAGGGGAUAGUGUUGGUCUGAGCAGGAUUCCUCACCCUCUAAUCUCAACAUACAUACACCCACAUCAGGGUUUAUUCACCAAUAUCAGCAGCAUUCAUUUUCCCCUUCAUUUAUCCCAAAAUAAGAAUGUGAUAAUUGAUUCAUGUUGAUAAAUAAAUUUCUAUCAUGAACAAAAAAAUUAUAUAAAGAUUUAGCAUGGUAAUGUUAUGCAGAA
rnacentral:lncRNA from 1 species